rnacentral:rRNA from 1 species
UAAACGACUCUCGGCAACGGAUAUCUCGGCUCACGCAUCGAUGAAGAACGUAGCAAAAUGCGAUACUUGGUGUGAAUUGCAGAAUCCCGUGAACCAUCGAGUUUUUGAACGCAAGUUGCGCCCAAAGCCAUUUGGCCGAGGGCACGUCUGCCUGGGCGUCACGC